AACGCACAUUGCGCCCCUUGGUAUUCCGAGGGGCAUGCCUGUUCGAGCGUCAUUAUGACCACUCAAGCCUAGCUUGGUAUUGGGGUUCGCGGUCUCGCGGCCUCUAAAAUCAGUGGCGGUGCCGUCUGGCUCUAAGCGUAGUAAUUUUCUCGCUAUGGGGUCCGGACAGUUACUUGCCUAAACCCUAACUUCUCACGGUUGACCUCGGAUCAGGUAGGGAUACCCGCUGAACUUAA
rnacentral:misc_RNA from 1 species